GUAUUGUAUUGCGUUAGACGCGGCAUACAUUCCAUAAGACUUUGUUACAGUGUGUGUGUAAAGACAUAGAACCAUAGCAGGGAGGACAGGUCCCCCCAGGCUACAGAACUACAGUGGGUGCACAGGUGUGAGUGGAUGUGUGAACAGAGCGUGCACAUGCCCCCGUUUGGGGACCAGCAACAACUCGUGUUGACAAUUCAGUAAUGAUCCUUCCGCAGGUUCACCUACGGAAA
rnacentral:misc_RNA from 1 species